CACUCUGAAAAUGAAAAAUAGACAUACAGUUUCAACCGACAAUGAUAUGAAGUUAAAUAAAAAAUCGACAAGGGUUCGUUAGAACUCUCGGAAAAACAGAUAAAAAAAUUUACGAACAACUUUGGAACAUAAGCUGUAUUACGCCUGUAAACUCAUCUAAUUCCCAAUUCGUCCACGCGUCAAAUCUUCCAAUUCUCAGUGUAUAGUCAAUGCUCGAAUGAUCUAACGCGCAUGCGCUAAAAUUCUGCAGCAAAAGCAGUUGUUGUCAGGAUAACCAACAUUUUUGAGGUUACAUCCAUCGCGGCGACCUGUCAUCUGAACUUACAUCGGUUGGUCGACCUGACAAAACAACUGCUAUGCUCUAGAAUUUUUUGCGCAUGCGCAUUAGACCAUUCGACCGUUAUCUACUCACUCCGUACACCUAUAUCCAUACGUAUUGCAGUUAAGCCCUCGAAUUUCAGGCCGGAUUGUAAUUAAUCCGUGUAUUGUACAAGAAGAUAAAAAAUUUAUUGCGCUCGGAUAUCGAAGUAUCGGUAUUAAACCAGCUAUAUUACUCGUUUGCAAGGUUUACGAAAUUCUGAGAGAAGAGUCAAUUACGUAAACGCAAUACGUAGUCACACAAGUAGGGUAUAAUAGAAAUAGGUAUGUACCUAUACCUGCACGUCGCGUACUUGCUCGUGAGAAUUUCACAGAAGAGAAAAAGCAAACAGAAACACGCGCACGCAUGUAUUACUAUUGAAAAUUUUGUUGCAAUCAUCGUUCUAAGAAACGCGCUGACGCAGACGAAUAUACGGCAAGUAUUUUAGAUAAGGACAAAGAAUAAUAUUGCGAUAAACAGAAGUAAGUUAAGAAAUUUCUCCCUUGUUUCAGUUGUAAUGCGCGACGUGUGCUGUAUCAACAUCCGAGUUUUGUACGAGUACGACAUUUUGUAUUGCCUGUUUAAGGAGAGAGAAAAAAAUCUUUACACCUACAGUAUAUAUUUUCAACGUUAAAACGACAGGGCAGAUGUGUCAGCGCGGCUGAUUGGCUCAAGGCUUCGUGCAUAGAGGAGGUAUGUAUGCACGAUUAUACGUACUACAUACCGUUGCUGGUCGUGUAAUGUACGUUGACUACCUUGAAAGAGAUUACGCAAUUGUUUAAGUUGGCCUACAGGUAAAACGACCGUAAUGUAACGUAACCCGGCUUGUUGCAGACGUGUUCUUAUCGACGAAAUACCUGGCUGCAGGUAUGUGUAUACCCGAGAAAUUCUGGAAUUUCGCAAUGAAUUUUCAUGGUGCUAAAAAAGACGUGGAAAUCAAUCCUUCCAGUACAAUAGCGGCGACAGGACGGUAACACAGAGCGUGAACAUUCCAACUACUUUGCACGCAGCGAUUCAUCCUGCAGUUUUGCAAAAGUUUACGAUCGAUUGUAUACUUGAACGAGAAGAGGAAAAUAUAGAUAACAAAAGAGAUAUUUUUUUUUAGACGUAAUUACCACAUCGAUUGUAUACGAUAAUUAUACGUAGGUACGUAAUUCCGAGUUCUAAGAGUUGUAUACGAGUGUAUAAUAUCCUCUUUAUCUGACGGAUCUUUUCAAUUCCAGGCCCUAUUUAAACCAUGUUACAGGUAUAAUAUUAUUGUGCAAACGAAAACGUUUAAAUAAUACACAAACAAAAAUAAGGAGAACUUGGUAAUUCUCAUAUUUCCGAAGAAUUAUAAUAUCAUGUAUACAAGGGCAGACGAAUACGACGCGGCGACGAUUGAAGAGAAACAAAAAAUACAAAAUCAAGGCAACGCGGAAUAAUAUGGAAGAGAUGGAGAGAAAACCACAGAGUUUGUUAUAUAAACCGAAACGCUGCUAGUCAACCGUGAUUCGGUAAAUGAAAGAUCAUUUAUGUAGUUAAAGAGAAGUUAUAAAUCGCACUGUUUAAUUUUUAUAACGUUCAAAUUAUUAUACUUUAUAUGCACGGGGAUUUUUGCAGGUACGCGCGUCCUUCGUAUUUAUCAAAAGUGUAAACGUGACACAUGUUAUGUUGCUCCUAUUUUUUUUCCACACGUUAAUACGUAACAUGUGUAAACGUACUUAUGACUAAAAUGUCGGUUUUCUAUCUACAGAGCCCGACGCUGUUAAAGAUAAGUUACAUCCGCCUAACUCCAGAUUCAAAAAAAAAAAAAGGAAAAAAAACGUACGUAGGCGGAUGAGUCUUUCUGGUACUAUAACAAGUAUUGUCAAGCCUGCUGUAAACCUGGUUUACAUAGUGCGCAUGUACAAAAUCAUACAAAUAAAUCCUACGCAAAUAUAUGAAAAAAAAAAAUGAAAAAAAGAAGAGAAACAAGAGAACCAAUUAAAUUUAUGAUCACAUCUAUGUAUAAUACUGCAAGCAUCGCUAUAGAUCUAAUCCGAAUGUAAUUGAAAUAUUUUUAUGAUUGGCGUAGCGGAUAAUUUGUACUAUACUUUGUGCACGUACGUAAUACGUAUGUGUAAGUUUUGUACAUUUUUGCAAAUUCAUACAUCACGGUACAAAUUGGUAUACUGUAGUAUAUGAUGUUACGAAUAUGACGAAAUGCUCGCUGGUGAGGGUGAUGCGGUAUACAUAACAUAUAUAUUUUUAAUCAUAUUUCAGUGCUCGUCUUUUUUCCCCUAGGCUCUCGACUAAUUUAUUAUUACAGUAAGUACGACGCAGUCUCUCAGUACUGCCUGUAGCCUGCAGCCUGCGGACCUAAACGAAAAUUCAUCAUCAAAACAACCGCAGCCUUAGAAUUUCCUGAAUUAUCUACUACCAAGGACUUUCUCUUCGCUGCUGAAUAUAAAAUUAUCAUCUCUAAACAAAUAUGCUAUCAGGAUCUUAUUGCAAUGAGGAAAAUCCAUGUUGCGUAUAGUAGGAUUACGUCAAGUUCGUUUUAAGGAUUAAAAACAAGCUGCUGGUAAGGUAUAAAAUGUAUAGUUUUAGCUUGAGUUCUUAAACUUUUAUACGGAACUAGAAUAAUUAUAAACGAUUCCAUGACCUAUAUCUACAUAAUUUACGGUUUAGGGGCUAUAAAAUUUUUGGAAAGCAACAGCAUGCGCGACUUUCUUCAUCGGGCGAAUACCUGCCUCGCGCACCAUUUACCAGGUGUUAAGGUGACGAUGUUUAGCUAUGCGGAGUUGAUACGUUUCGUAGAUAUGAUACAGCUCUGUACAUAUAUACGUAACACGUGAACCCUGCAUGCCUAAGUUUGGAGAAAUUCACGUUUUAAAUACACCAGAGGGAAGACGAAUAUCUGAAAUCGGUUACUUAUAAUACGUUCUAUCGCGAAAUAUUCGUAAAUAUGUACGCAUGUGUAAACCUCAGGUAUUUAUAAAUAGAAUCAUAAGCAUGCCAGCGUGUAUAUGCAUACACCGAUCUAUGCUGCAGGCAUACCUACUACGGUCAAUUUAUAUACCUCUAUACACGAGUCACAAAUCCGUUACGAACGCGUUCGAAUUUAAAUACUCGAUAUACGCAAGUGUGCCAUCCAUCGAGGUAUUUCGAACAGCGCCUCGAUUCCGCAUUUGUUUUUAGGUUGCCAUAAUAUGUAUGUGUAUAACUGUAAGAAACUUUAAACCGAAAGAUAAUCAGU